rnacentral:rRNA from 1 species
AUACGUAGGGGGCGAGCGUUAUCCGGAAUUACUGGGCGUAAAGGGUGCGUAGGCGGCCUUUUAAGUCAGAUGUGAAAGGCUACGGCUUAACCGUAGUUAGCAUUUGAAACUAAGAGGCUUGAGUGCAGGAGAGGAGAGUGGAAUUCCUAGUGUAGCGGUGAAAUGCGUAGAUAUUAGGAGGAACACCAGUGGCGAAGGCGACUCUCUGGACUGCAACUGACGCUGAGGCACGAAAGCGUGGGUAGCGAACAGGAUUAGAUACCCUGGUAGUCCACGCCGUAAACGAUGAGUGCUAGGUGUUGGUGGGGACACCCAUCAGUGCCGCAGCUAACGCAUUAAGCACUCCGCCUGGGGAGUACGGUCGCAAGACUGAA